rnacentral:rRNA from 1 species
UGGGGAAUAUUGGGCAAUGGGCGAAAGCCUUACCCAGCAACGCCGCGUGAGGGAAGAAGGUUUUCGGAUUGUAAACCUCUGUCCUGGGGGACGAAGGAAGUGACGGUACCCCGGGAGGAAGCCCCGGCUAACUACGUGCCAGCAGCCGCGGUAAUACGUAGGGGGCGAGCGUUGUCCGGAAUUAUUGGGCGUAAAGGGCGCGUAGACGGCCGAGUAAGUUAUAGGUGAAAGCCCAUCUUUCAAGGAUGGAAUUGCCUGUAAUACUGCUUGGCUUGAGUGCAGGAGAGGGAAGCGGGAUUCCUAGUGUAGCGGUGAAAUGCGUAGAUAUUAGGAGGAACACCAGUGGCGAAGGCGGCUUUCUGGACUGUAACUGACGUUGAGGCGCGAAAGCGUGGGGAGCAAACAGGAUUAGAUACC